UGGAAUGAAACACACCCCCUCACACAAACCAGGAAACAGUUUGAGAUUCUUCCUGUGUAAAGAGACACUGAUACGAUCAGACGGAGCUUCAGCGUCCUCAGACUGAGUCCAGCUACAACACUGCUGCUUCCAGCUGCUGACACUCCAAACACUGAAGAUUCACUCACACAAUAAAUGGCUUCCAGAUCAGAGGAGGAUCUCUGCUGUCCGGUCUGUCAGGACGUCUUCACAGAUCCUGUUGUUCUGUCAUGUAGCCACAGCUUCUGUAGAGACUGUCUGAAGACCUGGUGGAGACGGAAAAAAACACACCACUGUCCAGUUUGUAAGAGAAGAUCAAUGUAUGAUCCACCUUGUAACCUGGUUCUAAAGAAUCUGUGUGAGUCCUUCAGGCAGCAGAGAUCUCAGAGAUCUUCAGAGUCUUUCUGCAGUUUACACUCUGAGAAACUCAAACUCUUCUGUCUGGAUCAUCAGCAGCCAGUGUGUGUCGUCUGCAGAGAUUCAAAAAAACACUCCAACCACAGAUUCAGACCCAUCGAUGAAGCUGCACGACAACAAAAGAAGAUACUUCAGGAAACUCUGAAGCCCUUAAAGGAGAAACUGAAGAUUUCUGAACACGUUAAAGUGGAGUUUGAUCAAACAGCAGAACACAUUAAGAUCCAGGCCCGACACACAGAGAGGCAGAUUAAGGAGCAGUUUGAGAAGCUUCACCAGUUUCUGAUAAAGGAAGAGGAGGCCAGGAUGGCUGCACUGAGGGAGGAAGAGGAGCAGAAGACUGGGAUGAUGAAGGAGAAGAUGGAGGCUCUGAGCAGAGAGAUAGCAGAUCUUUCAGACACUGUCAGAGCCACAGAGGAGCAGCUGAGAGCUGAAGACGUCUCAUUCCUGCUAAACUACAAGGCUGCAGUGGAAAGAGUCCAGCGCUGCCUCCUGCUGGAGGAUCCACAGCUGCUCUCAGGAGCUCUCAUAGACCAGGCCAAACAUGUGGGCAACCUGAGCUUCAACAUCUGGAACAACAUGAAGGACAUGGUCUCCUACACUCCUCUCAUUCUGGACCCAAACACUGCAAAUCCAAAACUCAUCCUGUCUGAAGAUCUGACCAGUGUGAUACGUGGACGGAAACAGCAGCUUCCUGAUAAUCCAGAGAGGUUUGAUUAUCAUAUCUCUGUUCUGAGCUCUGAAAGCUUCAACUCAGGAACUCACAGCUGGAAUGUUGAGGUUAGAGACAGUAAACGCUGGACACUGGGUGUGAUAGAAGAGUCUGUCCCGAGGAAGGGAAUGAUACAGUCUGGAUUUUGGGGAAUAUGGUUCUUUGAAGAUAAAUACUCAGCAUGGCAUCCACCAUCUCCCUCCACUUUUCUCUCAGUGCAGAAGAAGCUCCAGAGGAUCAGAGUGAAUCUGGACUGUAACAGAGGAAAGCUGUCCUUCUCUGAUCUUGAUACUAAAACACUCAUACACACCUUCAAUCACACUUUCACUCAGAGGAUGUUUCCGUACAUUGCCAGUGGUGGUAAAUUUCAGAUUUUACCAGAGAAGGUCUCAGUGACAGUGGAACAGAUCAGUUAGAGAUCAACAGGUUGAAUAGAUUCAGAACGUCUCUUUGUCGUUGUUUGUUCUGUUGGUUGGUGGAAAUCUGAAUUUUAAGGUGGACGUCUUAGUUUCUUUGAUGUAUAUUUUAUAUUUCAACAUAAUAACCCAGAUAACAAAUGUAAAUUAUGUAAACAAGAAAGAUCUGUUUCUAUAAAUGUAAUGUGUCUGAAAAUAGACUAUUUUUCUCUGCAUUUUUACAGAAAAGGUAUUAAAUUACAUGUUGACUGUGAAAAACAAAGGCAAUACUGUAAAUAAUAAAUUCUCUUUAUUUUCACUGAUAAUUAUUUGUUCUUUAACAACAUGUGGCUGUAGAAUUACAACAUAUUUUUUACUGCAGUUAAAUCACUUAAAUAUCAGAAGUUCGAUUGUUUUUCUGCAGUCAGAGAUCAACAGGAUAAAUAGAUUAAAAGUGUUUGUUUUAGUUUUUUCUGUCAGCUGUUUUUUUCUGAACUGUGUUCUUGGCUUUUUACAUUUAUUGGAAAAAACUGGUGAGAAUCUGAACAGUGUGGACGUCUGGGUCUUAAGGUGGACGUCUGGGUUUUAAGGUGGACGUCUGUGUUUGUGUUCAGGUUUUCUGUAACGCUGCAGAUUGAAGAGCUGAAUCUGUCUCUGAUGAUGUUUCUCAUGUAACCUGCUCUUUCCAUGGACUUGUGGAUAACUGUGUGUGUCAGAUAAUAAAAGUGAUGAAGGAAAAGACUUCA